AGAGGGUAGGGGUGAGUGGUCAUAAAGCUCAGGUCAUGACCCUGUAGCCAGCAGCAACUAAGGCUUGGAGUCUCUGCUAGCUAACACUCAAAGGAGCAUACCUAACAAAUGGAUAACAACAAAAGCAUUCAAAGAAUUCCUUGGCACGGGGAGCCCUCUUGUGAGAGGAAAUCCGAUCUAGGAGGGGAAGUUUCUGUUGUAAUGACGGAUGACAUGACAGAGCUGAAGUCGGCUGAGAGACUGUGCCUCCAAAGCUGUCCCACUUGUGCUCACCAUACAGCAGCUGCUUGGGUAUCCUGCUCUCAUCCAUCUCUGCACAUGUCCUGCCCAGAGGCCCCAAAUUGGAACGUGCUUCUUCAGCUCUGGGAGCUUGGCUAUGUCCUGCCUUGCUGUUUACUGUUAAUUAUGGCUUCAGGUCCCAAUUUCACAAACAUAUAGGAGGUUAGACACUAUUACUUCUCCAUCAGUCUGUGACGAUUUGGUUCAGUUGAUUAGAACUAAUUGGGCCAAGGUCAUGGGUCUAAUUCCCAUGUGGGUCAGUUAGCUUUGCUCUGCUCAUGACUCCAGACAGCACCUCUAACCUGACCCUGCCAUCUCAUUAAUCUGUACCAUCCAUCACAAAGAGACAUCGUGGAUGGGUAGAAACAAAGCCAGCCCCACUCAGGGAAACCACUCAAAAUGCUCACUCUAGCCAUCGAUUCGAUAGAAGACAAUAUCAUUGCUUUUUUGCCCUUAAGUAGAACCCAGAACUCAAUAGACUUCUGAGAGCCCAGCUGAUCGUAAAUGUUGUUUUCACCUUCUUCAUUUGGGACCAUUCAAUUUAACAGGCCAUUUCUAGUACCUCCUAGGUUCAAGGCGUUGUGCUAAGCUUUAGAAUGAUGAUAAACAGAAAUAAAAUAAUUCUUGUCCUCUAGAGACUUAGAUAU
rnacentral:lncRNA from 1 species